rnacentral:lncRNA from 1 species
GUGACCAAUCAAAAAUAUUGACCUAAGUUCAGUGACCAUUGGAACAAUUAACUCUUUAUGUUGAAAGAUUAAAGUUGUUGAAUGAAAAAGACCCCCUUUCUUUUUCUCUUUAAUGAGGGUGUUCUUGAUUUUCAAUAGGCCUUUGCUCUUAAAUAAUUAAUCUCAUAAUUAUUUAUAUGAACUUUUAACUUUUUAUAGGGAUAUUGAUGUAGUAAGUGGAUUUAGAUCGUAC